rnacentral:rRNA from 1 species
GACGAACGCUGGCGGCGUGCUUAACACAUGCAAGUCGAGCGGUAAGGCCCUUUCGGGGGUACACGAGCGGCGAACGGGUGAGUAACACGUGGGUGACCUGCCCUCAGCUCUGGGAUAAGCCUGGGAAACCGGGUCUAAUACUGGAUAUGACUCCAUGACGCAUGUUGUGGGGUAGAAAGCCUUGUGCGGCUGAGGAGUCGGGCCCGCGGCCUAUCAGCUUGUUGGGUGGGGUGAUGGCCUACCAAGGCGACGACGGUAGCCGGCCUGAGA